rnacentral:rRNA from 1 species
UACGUAGGGUGCAAGCGUUGUCCGGGUUCAUUGGGCGUAAAGAGCGUGUAGGCGGCCAGGUAGGUCGGUUGUGAAAACUGGAGGCUCAACCUUCAGAGGUCGACCGAAACCAUCUGGCUAGAGUCCGGGAGAGGAGAGUGGAAUUCCUGGUGUAGCGGUGAAAUGCGCAGAUAUCAGGAAGAACACCCGUGGCGAAAGCGGCUCUCUGGAACGGUACUGACGCUGAGACGCGAAAGCGUGGGGAGCGAACAGG